CUCCUACAGGAGAGAAAGGGGGAUAUAAAUCCAAACUCUUCUUCUUCUUCUUUUUGAUGUGGUCAUCACAACCAAAGCACUGCUAUGAACUGGAUUACCUGGUCUUCAUUGCAAGUCCUGUCUAUAUUUCACCUCCUGGUGUUUUUCCUCAAGUCUUCAAAAUGGAAUAGGUUCUUUGCAUGUACCACAAUACACCAAGAUAUGUAUAUAACACAUGCAUAGAUUCUUAAAGUACUGGCUCUUUAAGAACAAAUUUGGCAUCUUUAAUUCUACUACUAACAUUGCCUAAUGGAGUCAUUCUUGCAUUGAUUUUAAAUCAAAUCUUGAACCAUUAGUUACAGCUCAUCCAGUGUUCAUUUUGGCCUAGAUGUGUGGGAUUUGUUUUCUUUCCAAGCUAAUACUAAAAUGGACCAAAGAGGUCAACACAAGUUUGCUUUCUCUGCCGGGAAACUGCACGUUCCAAAUGAUUUGCUGUAAAUGAAUUGGCUUCCUUAUAGAGACUGUCAGCCCCUAGUCAACUGUUUUACAUGGUGUAUAUCCUGUGAGCAAAGCCAUAGACAUCCUGGUGUAUCAAAAGUAUUUUUUUUAAAGUUAUGCUUGGAAUCAUAUUGUUCAUUUUAGCCCUAUGACUCAUCAUAAGAAACUAUACAGUCAGUACUGGACUCCUGACACCAGACGUGACCAGAAAAAAAAUAUAUCUGAGAUUCCAGUUAUGGGAUGUUGGGUUUUUGUGUGAAUCAUGUGUCAUCAUUUUUUACUUUUAAUUAUGGCUCAGGGGCCUCUCUGGACCUCUGACAGGGUCUGAUUUGAAAUUUUGCAGAACUAUCUGGUAUAAUUGGAGCCUUUAAAGAUCUCUCCCACCCCC